rnacentral:rRNA from 1 species
AUGAACGCUGGCGGCGUGCCUCAUCCAUGCCAGUCGAGCGAACAGAUAAGGAGCUUGCUCCUUUGACGUUAGCGGCGGACGGGUGAGUAACACGUGGGUAACCUACCUAUAAGACUGGGAUAACUUCGGGAAACCGGAGCUAAUACCGGAUAACAUUUGGAACCGCAUGGUUCUAAAGUGAAAGAUGGUUUUGCUAUCACUUAUAGAUGGACCCGCGCCGUAUUAGCUAGUUGGUAAGGUAACGGCUUACCAAGGCGACGAUACGUAGCCGACCUGAGAGGGUGAUCGGCCACACUGGAACUGAGACACGGUCCAGACUCCUACGGGAGGCAGCAGUAGGGAAUCUUCCGCAAUGGGCGAAAGCCUGACGGAGCAACGCCGCGUGAGUGAUGAAGGGUUUCGGCUCGUAAAACUCUGUUAUUAGGGAAGAACAAACGUGUAAGUAACUGUGCACGUCUUGACGGUACCUAAUCAGAAAGCCACGGCUAACUACGUG